GGACUAGUAAGCAAAUUUGAUUAGGAGAUCAACUUCCCAACGGACAUUGACAAUGGUAACAUUAGAUAUUUAGAAAAGCCUUCUCUUCCCAAGGAAAGGGAUUGACCAUAGUCAACUCGGUUCACCAAAUGGUAAAGAGAAAGGCAAGUCUGAGAUAGUCCAGUGCACCAUUCCUAAAGACUCCAUAUGUUUUGCCAAAGGAAGGGGCAUUGAUAGCGAAACUGCCUAUUUACCUGAAACAUCAUAAGGUUGAUCGAGUCAAAAAGUUUGACUCUACUUCAGGUAAAGACCAGUAUCUAACUCUGUUAAGUUUCUAUUAUGAGAUACAUGAUGUGACUGGGUCACAUGUAGAUGUUUUAAAAAUCAAAGAAAAUUGAAAAAACUUAAAGGAAGUAUAUGUUGAUUCUGAUCGCAAAAAUGGAUUUUGAUCGCAUGGUUCGGUGAUCAGAAUUUGGAGCUAUUACUUAGGAGUUAUGAUAUAUUUCUUAGGAAUAGAUAACAACAAAGUUUUUCAUAUACAUUUGCACUGUAAGGGUAAGUUUUUCCGCAAAGUUUUAAAAUAAAAAGAAAUUUUUUAUUUCAGUUAUUCUAAGUAUCCUUACAAUGGCGUUUGUGGAAAAUUGUUGCUUAUAUGAUUCCACUGAUAGAAAUAUUGGAAAAUGGAUUUGUUCCUUUCAUUUGUGGUAGUGUCUAAAUUUACCAAAUAAGGAAAUAUUCUCAUCACCCAAGGUUUCAGUUGGAUAGAAACUUGAGAAUUAUGCAAGUUAUAUAGUAUGAUGAAUGGGAAUUUUCAUCUUUGGAAAAUUAAGACUAAUUCCUUAUUCACAUGUAUAUGUGAGUCAAGUGAAGGGCUAAGGGAUCAAAUACACAUUCUUGUGCACUGAUCAAGUCCACCACAAAAGAUCAAUAAGACUAUUUGUCAUGAUUUACUAAAGUUUAAUAUGGUUAUACUUACAAGUUUAAGUAUAACUCUGAACCAUUGGAAAAGUUUUGAUGUAUGGCAGAACGAAUGAGAAGAAUCAAAUUAGGCAGAAGGAUAAAAGUUUCUCAAAUCUGAAAAGAUGGGAGAGUACUUUAGUAUCAGGUUUUGUGAUCAUCUUACUGAUUUAGAAAUCAUAUCACAAUUAGUCCUCAAAGGAAAUCUUAGUGCAUUCUUAUGACUAAGAAUAGGAAUCUUGAAUUUUUGGAAUGGUUAAAUCUAGAAGAUGAGUCAUACUUCGUUCCAAAACAAGUCUUAGAGUCAUACUCCAAGACUGUAAGUUAAGUGACAUAUCUUAAAGAAAGGUUUAUAACACUUGUCAAAUGUAAGAGUAAAAGUGUCCUACUCUUGUACAUUUGAAAUUGGUAAGUUGUGAUGUUUUGGAUAAAACAAAGACCAACUAAGGCCAAUUGUAUGAAGUGUUUGUCUUGAUAAAGAAUCUGCACUAUCUCUUGAAUAUUUGGCAAGAGUGUCUUAUAUGUCAAGAGGACAGUGGGAGUCUUAAAGAUCAAGAAGAAAAACCUAUAGUUUAUAACUAGCACAUGACUUGAGGUUUAUAACCUAUCGUGUUGACAUAUUCCUACUUAUGUGCCCAUUCCAGUGAAAAUUGUCUUUGCAUAUAAGUUCUGAGAGUUCUCAAUUGGUUUCAUAACAACAUGGAAGCAAUGGCAGGCCCUUGUGCUGCCAGGUGGCAAGAAGUUAAGACAGCACAAGUUCAAUCCAUAUGAGUUUGGAUUUUUCAUUAAUCGUGUCUUGUGAUUAUGGUUUUGACAAAUUCACAGGGAUAGGAACACAUACACCAUAAAAUCUAAAUGUCAUAAGGGUUCUCUUUGAUUCAUGAAAAUAAUGGUGAGGAAACGCUUUCACUAAGUAGAUUUUAGGUAGAUGGCAAGUAUGAUAUUUUUAUUCUCAAAGUCGGUAGUGGAGCGUGUGUCGUUAACCGGCACACUAACAUGGACUUGUGAGGAAUGGCAAAAGGUCUAAACAAUUGAGACUAUGAUUACUACAUCCCUUUUCAUAGUUCUAAAAUUGUUUAGACACACGUGUGUGCUAUCUAAGGAAAGGUGUAUGAUUUUGAUAAAGUUUUAUCAAAGCAUCUCGUAUCAGAAAUAUGAACUUUGGUAAGAAGGUCAAUAAAGUAUUGAUUUCUAGAUGUUCAACAGAUUUCUAAGUAUAUGUCAAAGCUAGUGUGAGCAUAAGCUUCAUGCUAAUAAUCAUCAUGCAAGUGGGAGCAUGAUAAUUAUAAUAAGUGUUGCAAGUUAGCAAUGUUAAUUAUAGAAAAACAAAAGGUUUCAAUUGGGAAAAAGUUGUUUUGCUAUAAUUAAGGGAGAGGAAAAUAUACUUCACUUCAAUUCUAAAAGCUUAGAUUGAGGUUUUAAUCAUAUUUAGUCAAGGAUAUAUAUAUAUAUAUAUAUAUAUAUAUUUAUUUCAUGUUGGAAUGGCUCAACAUAAGGAAAUUCUAUAUAUGGGUCCAUUAUUUGCGUUCUAAAAUUUGAUUAUGAUUACGACAUCCCUUUUCGUAAUAUGAAUUAUGAGAACUUGGCAAAUAGAAAUAGAAAUAUUAUAGCAAAAGGAUAGUCUAGUAUCAUGUCUUUAUGAAUCGUGUCCCAUAUGCUUCGGAUAUAGGAUCGAUUGCAUGUGCUAUACUAUUCAUCUGUUCUAAAUUUUUCAAAAUGCCCAUAGCAUUAACAAGGAAAAAGUACUAGAAGUAGAUAUGACUAAAAUGAUUAAGCAAUUGUCAAGGACAAUCUAAGGAUUACCAAAGAUUGGUUGCUCAAGGACAGUUGGAAGUAUAGUGUUAAUUUUGGAAGGACCAUAUUGACAUAUUCUGAAAAGAGGCAACUUUUGUUCAAGAGUAAUAGUCAAAAGGGAAAUAUGGAAAUGUUCCUAUAGGUGGAAGUUAUUCAUUAAAUAUGUGUAAGAUUAGGAAACUUAAUGCAAGAAGAAUGUUCAAUGGCAAUGAACUUUCAAUAUGAGACUUCGGUUCCAUGGAGUUAGUCUCCAUUGGAAUACUCUGUAAUGUAUGUUGACAAGUCUUUGUGACUUUGUGCAUAAUCAUUACAAGAGGACCAAUGCAUAUAAGUUUAGAAUCUAACAGAUUUAGGUAAAUGGCAGGAAUUUGGAAUUCUUGCAUUUGCAGUAAGGAAUUGGGAAUGUGAAAUGAGAAUCAUUGAAAUUAUGUUCAAUCGAUCUAUUUCACAAAGUAAAGAUCAUAGACAAACUUAGUAUGCAUACUUGGUGUAUGGCAUGACUAGUGUUUAGAAAACAUAGUGUACAUGCUUGGAGCAUGGGACAACUAUUGCUUUAAUUCAAGUAUAAAGUUGAUAGUUUGAAACAGUAUGCAAUUAAUGAUGGGUAAUCAAUAUCAUGAUAAAUAAAAGAUGUGUUAUUUAUAUUCAUAAGUUCUGAGACCAUACUAGAUUCGAUUAUUCUUGUGUUUCAGUUUUGAUGUUUUGACUUCCAGAAUAACUAGGUCGUUUUUCCUGAAUGACUAAGUUAUUCAAACCAUCCACAUUCGGUCAUAUGUUGGAAGUAGAUAUGAAUCAAGACUAUCAUGGGUUGGCUUGUACAGGUCUAAGAUGUUGGACAAAGUGGUGCUACAACACUCAUGAGUGCUCAUAAGUUCUUAGUAUUGGGUUCAACCCACGCUCAUUGGAAUCAAUUCAUGGAUUUUAUCACGAGUGAUCAUGAGACGAUAAUAUCUUAUUCUUCAAACCUAGAGAUAUGAGUUGUUACUAUGAAUUGGUUAUACAUUGAUCGCACGAAAACUCAUUGGUAACUCGAUGUUAUAAAACGUGCCUUUGUGUAUGAUUCAAAAAGUAGUAGAAUAAGCCAUAUGAUUCGAAGUUUAUCCAUUCCUUUUACCUUCUGGAUAAAAGUGAUAUAUGUGGGCCCCUCGAUGAUUUAGUGAUGACACCCCGAAGUGCUUGGCCAAGCCAGGACUAAUUUGAUUUGUUCAAUUAGUCGGUCGUCAUAAAUAGGAAAUCGGGAAACAAAAAAUGGACAGAGAGAAUGAUUUUAAUCCAUGUCUCAGUCCAUAUGAUAUCUAGAAUGGAGGAAUAUAUGAUCCCUUAUCUAAUGGAAAAAUCAUUGACAAAGGUCAGAGUUCAUCGACAAGGUCAGAGUUCGACAACGGAUUUUGAGAGCUACGAUUACCAGUUGGUUUUUGAAGUAAUUCGCAAUAAAUGUUUUAGACUUAUCCAAGUAGGAGACUGUUGGAUUAGUAUCUAAGUGCAUAACUAUAUUUGGUAUGUACUUGACCCGACUCGGCAUGGUCCAUUUGGGUUGCAUGGCAUCAUGCAUUUGGAUACACUAAAAUGAGAGAAAUAACACUUAAGGUUGGUAAUAUAUUAUAAGUUCUAAUAUAUUAAUAAGAUUAUUUAAUUAGUAUUUAUCAAGAAUUAAUUUGGAUUUAAUUAAGUGAUCAAAAGGAGACUAAUUAAUUAUAUGGGUUGAUUGUGUAAAUCAUCCAUACUUGUAUAGUGGGCUAAUGCUCAAUGGAUGAUCAAGUUGGGCUAAAACCCAUAGGAUGCCCCAUGGUGUUUUUGUACCCAUGGAUCAUGGAAAUGAAAGUCCAUGACAAUUAGGGUUUACACGGUGUAACCUUAAUUGUGACACACUAUAUAACCAUCUUAUUCUUGUCAAAAUCGGCAACCAUGAGUGACUAUGAAGGAAUGGUGAGGGCUAGCCGAUUUCAUGAAGUGUAUCAUUUCUCUCUAAGUUAUUCCAAGUGCAUUUGAUGUUGUGUGAACCAUUUGAGGUGUCAUACUUGGGGCACUAGGCUCUCGAGCUUCAUGGAGUUAAGCUACAUCAACAAGGUAUGUAUUUCUAUCUAGUUUAUUAUUCAAGUAUAAAAAGGUUGUAUGCUAGUUAGGUUAAUACAUUGGAAUAUUAAUAUUUGCAUGUAUAAUAGAGAAAAAACAGAUUCAAGGUAUUUAGGGUUGCAUGUACACUUAGGAGUGUUAGAAUGCUCAUAACCCAACGGUGGUAUCAGAGCCUAGGCUUGUUUUCUUGUUAUUCUUGCAAAAUUGGCUGAAAAUCGAAGUUUUUAUGUUGUCUGGACAGCAGACUCACCGAGUCCAUAAAGGGACUCAAUUAGUCCAAGGCAAAACUCAUCCAACUCGCCGAUUUGGUUCAUGCACUCGACGAGUUGGACCCCCAGACAGCAUAUCUUCGACUGUUUUGGCUGGAAAUGGACUAGGAACAUUACCGUAAGCUGUUUUUUAACUUAUAAACCUAUUUUUGGUAUGGUAAUGUUCAUUUUAAUCCAAUUUAAAAGAUAAUUGUCAAUAGAUUCAUGUUUUGUAUAAGUUUAAUGGCUAGGCUAAUUACAUGAAAAAGUUUCAUUGAAUUAUCUUGUUCUUAUGAGUUGCUUAGAUUAAUAGAAAAGUUAUGUGAAAUUAUAGUUUUCAAUCCAAAUUAAUCUAAGAGUUGGUUGUAAAAUGUGUUUUUGUUACUUGUCCUCAAGUUAUAUGAAAAGUCACAUUUAAGAUUCAUAAAACUCAUAAAUAUUUCCAUAGGUUAUGAAUAAAGAAAAGUCAUAUUCUUUUAGUAGUUUAAAGACCUCCAUAACUUGUCCUCAGGUUAUGGAACUUCAAGAGUUUUUUGGAUUAAAACUACUUUAAACACAUAAGUUAAGGAAUUGAAUAGUUUUGAAUUGUUUCAAAACUUACCCUCAAGUUUUGGAAUUUGAAAAGUUUUCCCUUAUGAAUACUUUAAUUCCAAGUUAAGCCCUUAGAAUUUUAAAAGUUAAAAUUCAACCCUUAUAUUUUAUUAAAUUAUAAGUUAAUUAUAUAUAUAUAUAUGUGUGUGUGUGUGUGUGUGUGUGUAUGUAUAAGAGCAAGUCAUAUUGCCAUUAGUAGGCCUCAUUCACGAAGUCGUUCUAUAAGGGGGGUAUAAGGUUACUGCCUAUAAAAUGGCAGUUUAAUGGGUGUCCACUCUCACCCACCGCUUCCUUGACUGGUGGAGGGUCGUUAGCCGAACGGGUAGGACAAGGACUAGAAUUCUCCCUUAAUUAAAAGUAUUAAUGAUAAAUAUAAAGUAACUAAAAUGUUUUUAUAAUUCCCAAUCUUAGUUACUUCAGGAAAAUGUGAAUAAGGUGUUAAUCCAUGAAAUUACACUUUGCAUUUUGCUUAAGUCGGUUAGUGGAGCGCGUGUGGUUAACUGGCACACUAGCCGGAUUUAACAAGGUAGGCAAAGGGUAACUUAAUAUUUAUCAUAGUAUCGGUGGAGCGCGUGUGGUUAACCAGCACAUCGAUUAAGAGGUAAAUCUUAAGGGUACCAAGUAAUUUGCAUGGUUACUUUACACCUUGUUUUGUGAUCCUCGGCAUCCUAAUCACAAAACCUGAAGGGCACACUCAAGAUUGAAACAUGCCAUUGAACAGUUCAAUGAAUCUCAAAAGAUCUAGGAGUUUCAAAUCCAAUUAAAACCUAUUAAAUUAUUUUGUUUUCAUGGUGGAAAUUGGUGAAUCGCCAUUCGCCUACCUUCAAAUAUUCUAUCGCUUGGAUUAUGGCAUCCCUCUUCCAAGUUAUAAAAUAUUGUGUUGGGUCCUAGCCUUAAUAUUUCAUAUUGGGUGUUAUAUUAAGGACUUUAAAUCAACUAUCUUGAAUAUCUCCCAAAAAGAUGUCUGUUUCAGACAUCUAUGAUCUUCCCAAAUCUCUUGGAACUUCACCUCCUCCACCUCCUCCAAUUAUUCUCCCUUACCCACAAGUUCAAGGUCACUCAAGCCCUAAUGGCAAGCAAGGUCUAUGUGUGCUCACAUCUUGGAGAUGAAGUCACAUAUUGAUAAGCCGGGAGAGUUGGGUGUCAAAGUCUUAAGAAAGUUGGUUGUUCAAUCACUUUCUAAGUCACAUAGUGAGUUACCUCUGGGACUACUAUGAAACAGACUAUGACAUGACCCUUAAUGAUCUUAUCUAUUUGCUUGGUGCUGUUGAAUCAACAAUGAUUUUAGGACUACUAAAGCAAAUUUGAUUAGGAGAUCAACUUCCCAAUGGACAUUGACAAUGGUAACAUUAGAUAUCUAGAAAAGCCUUCUCUUCCCAAGGAAAGGGAUUGACCAUAGUCAACUCGGUUGAUCAAAUGGUAAAGAGAAAGGCAAGUCUAAGAUAGUACAGUUCACCAUUCCCAAAGAGUCCAUAUGUUUUGCCAAAGGAAGGGGCAAUGAUAGCAAAACUGCCUAUUUACCUGAAACAUCAUAAGGUU
rnacentral:lncRNA from 1 species